rnacentral:rRNA from 1 species
CCCGGUGCUCGAAGGUUAAGAGGAUGCGUCAGUCGCAAGAUGAAGCGUUGAAUUGAAGCCCGAGUAAACGGCGGCCGUAACUAUAACGGUCCUAAGGUAGCGAAAUUCCUUGUCGGUUAAAUACCGACCUGCAUGAAUGGCGUAACGAGAUGGGAGCUGUCUCAACCAGAGAUUCAGUGAAAUUGUAGUGGAGGUGAAAAUUCCUCCUACCCGCGGCAAGACGGAAAGACCCCGUGGACCUUUACUACAACUUAGCACUGCUAAUGGGAAUAUCUGCGCAGGAUAGGUGGGAGGCUUGAAGUAAG